UACGGAGGAUGCGAGCGUUAUCCGGAUUUAUUGGGCGUAAAGGGCGUGCAGCCGGAGAGACAAGUCAGAUGUGAAAUCCACGGGCUCAACCCGUGAACUGCAUUUGAAACUGUUUCCCUUGAGUGUCGGAGAGGUAAUCGGAAUUCCUUGUGUAGCGGUGAAAUGCGUAGAUAUAAGGAAGAACACCAGUGGCGAAGGCGGAUUACUGGACGAUAACUGACGGUGAGGCGCGAAAGCGUGGGGAGCAAACAGG
rnacentral:rRNA from 1 species